ensembl:lncRNA
AAAACGUUUGGUACCACAUCGCCCGACGGAUUUAAUCAUUAUUCAAGAGGGAAAGGACAAGAAUAGAUCGUUCAACCAGGAGUGUUUCAAGCGGAAAAAAAUACUUGUGUUUCACCUCAGCCACACAAAGGAGACCAGACAGCACUGUCCUUAAAGCACAGUUGCCACUGUCCCAAAACGCUGCAACCUGAUUGAUAACUGCAGAUGCAAGUUUGGUUGUAAGACAGGCAAAUGCAGUUGCCGCAGUGCUGGCCUACUCUGUACAAUGGCCUGUAAAUGUAGAGCUACUGCUGAUCAGCCAUGCCAUAACACUAGAGAAGAAGACCAGGAAUAGAAUAUGUGAGGAAGUGACCCUCUGGAGAUUGAUAAACAGGCCAUUGGAAUGAAUCACCACGAAUGAGAAGAUGAAGGCAUCUUCUGUGUAACUCAAACUGUGAAUAAUAAUGUUUUUUGCUUGUCGGUUGAUGCUGACAGUAGAUUUUGAUUCGAUUUUGAUUUGAUUCAAUUUAUUUCAGACAUUUCAAAAAAUGCAAAUCAAAAUAAAAAGGAUAAAUACAAUAAACAAAUGGUCUUUAAAUUAUUUCACAAAAAAGAAAAACAAAUGACAUACAUUGAUAUAUGCCUGAAAAGGAGUAGGAAGAGGUAUACACUUAUUUAAACCUACC